rnacentral:rRNA from 1 species
UACGUAUGGGACAAGCGUUAUCCGGACUUACUGGGUGUAAGGGGAGCGUAGGCGGCGGGGCAAGCCUGAUGUGAAAGCCCGGGGCUCAACCCCGGGACUGCAUUGGGAACUGCCCUGCUGGAGUGCCGGAGGGGCAGGCGGAAUUCCUAGUGUAGCGGUGAAAUGCGUAGAUAUUAGGAGGAACACCAGUGGCGAAGGCGGCCUGCUGGACGGUGACUGACGCUGAGGCUCGAAAGCGUGGGGAGCAAACAGG